GGGGAAUUAGCUCAGUUGGGAGAGCGCGUGACUGGCAGUCACGAGGUCAGGGGUUCGAACCCCCUAUUCUCCA
rfam:Olsenella sp. oral taxon 809 str. F0356 genomic scaffold supercont1.1, whole genome shotgun sequence.